GGAUUGAUGUGUGGAAAGAGUCAAAACCCUCAAAAGAAGAAGAAUAAAAAACGUGCUGCCAAGUUGUAGCAGGUGAAAUCAAUUACCACCAUCAGUUACUGGUAUCUUUAUUUCAUUCGUCAUUGAUAUGUUGGCGAUACAAAUGCUGUAUUCAAGAAAACAAAUUUACACAAUGUAGACGAACUAUUAUUGAAUAGAAUACCAUUAAAGUAUUUUAUUUUUGCAAUACCUGUGUUUUUAACACUACACUGCGCAGGAAUAACGUGAGAUCCCAAAUGCAAACAGGAGGACGAAAUCACGAGGAAAGAGGACAACCCAAGCUGGCUUUUGCACAGACAUUCUCAUAACCUCGUAGAAAAAAUAACCCGACAAAAGUAAUUCAUGAAGUUCUAUUAUAAAAAAAAAAAAAAAACAGUUCCCACGAUACACGUGGAAAGCUAAGUACUUAAGCGCUUUAAAUAUUUCUGUGAGCCUUGUUGCCCUUCGCUUCGGUUUCGUUUGUUCCGGUGAGCCUCUCGCAGGGUUUUUAGACUCCGCACCUACACAGCACUGAAACUUCAUAGACUUGGAAAAGUUUAAUGUGGCAGGUUGUUAAAUUCAUAGCCUAUAACGCAUUAUACCCAGCAGAAUCAGCUAAUUUAAUCUGAGAGGCAUAACACCCCGCACCACAGCUACUAAAACAGUCAUGAUGAUACUAAUUCAAUGGAUAUGUAUCGCCUCUUUAAAAAGGCACAGCUAGGAACCGAAUAACACCUGAAUAUAACAAAGAACAAAGAUUUCCAGCACAAUGAAAGCAGGACAGAUGAAGAAAUUGAUGUACCCAUGUACAUUUAAGAGGGAUUCACCAGGAUUUAAAUCCACUGGACCAAGAAGACGUUUGACAGGCGUGAUCACUGAAAAUGUAUUUGACAGACUAAUUUGGCUCGACAGACCGUUGUGCAAAUAUUACUGCAAGUGUUAGAAAGCCUGCCGCACACAGCCUGACUCAAGCCGUCCCGACUCAUCUCAUCUCAACUGGCCGUAC